UACGGGGGGAGCAAGCGUUGUUCGGAUUUACUGGGCGUAAAGGGCGCGUAGGCGGCGUGACAAGUCACUUGUGAAAUCUCCGGGCUUAACCCGGAGCGGUCAAGUGAUACUGUCGUGCUAGAGUGCGGAAGGGGCUACUGGAAUUCUCGGUGUAGCGGUGAAAUGCGUAGAUAUCGAGAGGAACACCUGCGGCGAAGGCGGGUAGCUGGGCCGAUACUGACGCUGAGGAGCGAAAGCGUGGGGAGCGAACAGG
rnacentral:rRNA from 1 species